AACGAACGCUGGCGGCAUGCCUAACACAUGCAAGUCGAACGAGAUCUUCGGGUCUAGUGGCGCACGGGUGCGUAACGCGUGGGAAUCUGCCCUUUGGUUCGGAAUAACAGUUGGAAACGACUGCUAAUACUGGAUGAUGACGAAAGUCCAAAGAUUUAUCGCCAGAGGAUGAGCCCGCGUAGGAUUAGCUAGUUGGUGUGGUAAAGGCGCACCAAGGCGACGAUCCUUAGCUGGUCUGAGAGGAUGAUCAGCCACACUGGGACUGAGACACGGCCCAGACUCCUACGGGAGGCAGCAGUGGGGAAUAUUGGACAAUGGGCGAGAGCCUGAUCCAGCGAUGCCGCGUGAGUGAUGAAGGCCUUAGGGUUGUAAAGCUCUUUUACCCGGGAUGAUAAUGACAGUACCGGGAGAAUAAGCUCCGGCUAACUCCGUGCCAGCAGCCGCCGCCG
rnacentral:rRNA from 1 species